AAAACUAAAAAAAAAAACCAAAA
rnacentral:sRNA from 1 species